rnacentral:lncRNA from 1 species
CUUCUCCUGACCCAGCAUCGCUCAUCACAAUGAAGAACCAAGACAAAAAGAACGGGGCUGCCAAACAAUCCAAUCCAAAAAGCAGCCCAGGACAACCGGAAGCGGCUCCUUUGAUUCUCUAGACCUGGAAAAGGUGUCCCUAGGCAGAGCCCUGGCAGGGCGCUCAGAGCUGGGGAUUUCCUGCCUGGAACAAGGGACCUGGAGAAUGUUUUUGCGUGGGAUGAUGUGCUGGUC